AAGUCCCUGUUGGCUUUUAAGCAACAGUGGAAUACCAAAAUAUAGGCCCCUUUUCUGUUGUUUAUAAAUUAAUAAAAUAUCAAAUGACAAGGAUCUAUUUUAGCCAUUAUAUAAAACAAAUAAUGAAUGUUUUUACAUUCUUUCAAUGAAAAUAAUUAACAAGUAUCUAGAGAUAACAAGA